rnacentral:misc_RNA from 1 species
AAGUCGUAACAAGGUUUCCGUAGGUGAACCUGCGGUUGGAUUAUCACAAUACUUGUAUACCAAUAUCAACCAAAUGUGAACUGUAACGUCCCUAUUAUAUUCUUAAAUGAAUGUAGUAGACAAUACCCUUUUAGUAGUUACUAAAAGAUUAAUUUCUAACGAGAUUAGUCUUAUAGUGAUGAACUAUUCACCAAUUUUAACCCUAUAACAUUAAAACUGUCUAAACUUCAUAAGCUUUUGCGACUCGUAUUCUUAAUUGAAUAUGGUUAAUAAAGGAUUACGAAAUAUUGAACAACUCUUAGCAAUGGAUAUCUUGGGUCAU